AUGUCUGUAUGUCAGGAUAACCUACCUAUAAGACUGGGAUAACUUCGGGAAACCGGAGCUAAUACCGGAUUAUUUUGAACCGCAUGGUUCAAAAGUGAAAGACGGUCUUGCUGUCACUUAUAGAUGGAUCCGCGCUGCAUUAGCUAGUAAGGUAACGGCUUCAAGGCAACGAUGCAUAGCCGACCUGAGAGGGUGAUCGGCCACACUGGAACUGAGACACGGUCCAGACUCCUACGGGAGGCAGCAGUAGGGAAUCUUCCGCAAUGGAGUCGCGAAAGCCUGACGGAGCAACGCCGCGUGAGUGAUGAAGGUCUUCGGAUCGUAAAACUCUGUUAUUAGGGAAGAACAUAUGUGUAAGUAACUGUGCACAUCUUGACGGUACCUAAUCAGAAAGCCACGGCUAACUACGUGCCAGCAGCCGCGGUAAUACGUAGGUGGCAAGCGUUAUGUAUACGUUAUUGGGCGUAAAGCGCGCGUAGGCGGUUUUUUAAGUCUGAUGAAAGCCCACGGCUCAACCGUGGAGGGUCAUUGGAAACUGGAAAACUUGAGUGCAGAAGAGGAAAGUGGAAUUCCAUGUGUAGCGGUGAAAUGCGCAGAGAUAUGGAGGAACACCAGUGGCGAAGGCGACUUUCUGGUCUGUAACUGACGCUGAUGUGCGGUAUAUUUAAAGCGUGGGGAUCAAACAGGAUUAGAUACCCUGGUAGUCCACGCCGUAAGUGUACGAUGAGUGCUAAGUGUUAGGGGGUUUCCGCCCCUUAGUGCUGCAGCUAACGCAUUAAGCACUCCGCCUGGAGUACGACCGCAAGGUUGAAACUCAAAGGAAUUGACGGGGACCCGCACAAGCGGUGGAGCAUGUGGUUUUUCGAAGCAACGCGAAGAGUAUACCUUACCAAAUCUUGACAUCCUUUGACAACUCUAGAGAUAGAGCUUCGGGGGAGUACAUCAAAGUAGUCUAGUCAUGCUA
rnacentral:rRNA from 1 species